UCCCCGUUAUCCUGGGCAGUCCUUCCAGAGUUCCCGGCAUGACCCGUUGGCAACUGGAAGCAGGGGUUGCGCUCGUUGCGGGACCUAACCCAACACCUCACGGCACGAGCUGACGACAGCCAUGCAGCACCUGAGCAGGAUGGUAUUGCUACCUCGUUGGGCUUUCACCCUUCUACUACCUGCAUGUCCAGCCUGGGUAAGGUUCUUCGCGUUGCGUCGAAUUAAACCACAUGCUCCACCGCUUGUGCGGGCCCCCGUCAAUUCCUUUGAGUUUCAACCUUGCGGCCGUGCUUCCCAGGCGGAAUACUUAAUGCGUUAGCUGCGGCACCGGCGGUAACCCGCCGACACCGCCCACACCUAGUUCCCAUCGUUUACGGCGUGGACUAC
rnacentral:misc_RNA from 1 species